rnacentral:rRNA from 1 species
AAUCCGGCACCUUAAGGCUGAGAGUCGAGACCACUGGUCCUUUGUGACCGGGAAGUGGUUGAUGCCAUGCUUCCAGGAAAAUCUUCUAAGCUUCAGGUUAUAAGGAACCGUACCCCAAACCGACACAGGUGGUUGGGAUGAGUAUUCUAAGGCGCUUGAGAGAACUCGGGUGAAGGAACUAGGCAAAAUUGUACCGUAACUUCGGGAGAAGGUACGCCGCUGACGGUGACGAGACUUGCUCUCUGAGCUAUUGGCGGUCGCAGUGAAAAGGCCCCUGCAACUGUUUAUUAAAAACACAGCACUCUGCAAACGCGUAAGCGGACGUAUAGGGUGUGACGCCUGCCCGGUGCCGGAAGGUUAAUUGAUGGGGUUAGCUUCGGCGAAGCUCUUGAUCGAAGCCCCGGUAAACGGCGGCCGUAACUAUAACGGUCCUAAGGUAGCGAAAUUCCUUGUCGGGUAAGUUCCGACCUGCACGAAUGGCGUAAUGAUGGGGGCGCUGUCUCCACCCGAGACUCAGUGAAAUCGAAAUCGCAGUGAAGAUGCUGUGUACCCGCGGCUAGACGGAAAGACCCCGUGAACCUUUACUAUAGCUUCACAGUGGACUUUGAACCUGCUUGUGUAGGAUAGCUGGGAGACUUUGAAGCGGUGACGCUAGUCAUCGUGGAGUCGUCCUUGAAAUACCAGCCUGGCAUGUUUGAGGUUCUAACCUAGGUCCAUUAUCUGGAUCGGGGACAUUGUGUGGUGGGUAGUUUGACUGGGGCGGUCUCCUCCCAAAGAGUAACGGAGGAGCACAAAGGUACCCUCAGCACGGUCGGACAUCGUGCAACGAGCGUAAAGGUAGAAGGGUGCUUGACUGCGAGACCUACAAGUCGAGCAGGUGCGAAAGCAGGUCUUAGUGAUCCGGUGGUUCUGUAUGGAAGGGCCAUCGCUCAACGGAUAAAAGGUACUCCGGGGAUAACAGGCUGAUACCGCCCAAGAGUUCAUAUCGACGGCGGUGUUUGGCACCUCGAUGUCGGCUCAUCUCAUCCUGGGGCUGAAGCCGGUCCCAAGGGUAUGGCUGUUCGCCAUUUAAAGAGGUACGCGAGCUGGGUUUAGAACGUCGUGAGACAGUUCGGUCCCUAUCUGCCGUGGGCGUUGGAGAUUUGAGAGGAGCUGCUCCUAGUACGAGAGGACCGGAGUGGACGAACCUCUGGUGUUCCGGUUGUCACGCCAGUGGCAUUGC